AGUUACGACCAUUUGACCGGAAAAGUGCCGCUUCCCGUCCGACAGCGCAGCGAAGCCCGUGACAGCACAGUCAGUUCUAGCGUGAGAGAUCAGUUUGGAAUACUGGGUGCUGUAGUUU
rnacentral:rRNA from 1 species